rnacentral:rRNA from 1 species
ACGCUGGCGGCGUGCCUAAUACAUGCAAGUCGAGCGGACUGGAGGGAGCUUGCUCCCAAAGGUCAGCGGCGGACGGGUGAGUAACACGUGGGUAACCUGCCUGACAGACUGGGAUAACGCUUGGAAACGAGUGCUAAUACCGGAUAGGCUUUUGGAUCGCAUGAUUCGAAAGGGAAAGAGGCUAUCGCCUCACUGUUAGAUGGACCCGCGGCGCAUUAGCUAGUUGGUGAGGUAACGGCUCACCAAGGCGACGAUGCGUAGCCGACCUGAGAGGGUGACCGGCCACACUGGGACUGAGACACGGCCCAGGCUCCUACGGGAGGCAGCAGUAGGGAAUCUUCCACAAUGGGCGCAAGCCUGAUGGAGCAACGCCGCGUGAGUGAUGAAGGCCUUCGGGUUGUAAAACUCUGUCUUCUGUGACGAACAAGUGCGUGAGUGGAAAACUCGCACCCUGACGGUAACAGAGGAGGAAGCCACGGCUAACUACGUGCCAGCAGCCGCGGUAAUACGUAGGUGGCAAGCGUUGUCCGGAAUCACUGGGCGUAAAGCGCGCGCAGGCGGCGAUCUACGUCUGGGGUGAAAGCCCGGAGCUCAACUCCGGGACUG